rnacentral:lncRNA from 1 species
CAGUACUGGAGAACAUUCUAAGAAUAAACAGGGGAGGAACCCGGAUUUGCGGUUAGGGGGGCGCAAAGAUUUAUUUUUGCCGAGUGGAGCGAGGCGAAAAAAACUUUUGAGGUAAAAUUAUUGAAAUAUUCUUACAAAGGGGUGAUAUGUAGAUAUCUCGAACUAUUGUGUGGUAAAAUUAGCAAAAAAUUAUAUAAGAGUGAGUCUAAAAAGCUACAGUUAUAAAGCUGCAGCACCACAAACAGAAGCUGAAGAUCAUGCGAACAUUUUAUUUUGAUUCUGUGUUCCUGUGCAAACCAAUCUACAAUCAAGCAAGACACCAGCACUAUAAAUUGUAAAAUUAUCUAUAUAGCAAUAUCAGGUAUUAACUUGACUAAACCUUGAAAGACAUGGUGCUGGUAGUUGUGACCUACGGACACAAAGUGAAACGAGACAUGCAGAUUACAACAGUUCACCUGACCAAUACUAGUAUUAGAUUUUGCUAACGAAAAUUUCUACUUUUACCAGCGAUUUUUAAUUGUCCUUUCAUAAUGUCUGUUUUUUACUUUUUUUGGAUUUUCGGAGGUCGUGCCAGACUUUACUGUGUUCGCCACAAACAACUAAAAUCAGAAUGAGAUGCAUCUACGAAGUUAUAUGUUAUCUUUAUUUUCUUGGGAUCCCAAGCAUAUAAUCACGGAACCUAAUUCGGCUAAAUGUUUAGGUUGAAAGUGCGAAAUAAAUAUAGACACAGAGAUACAAAUUAAUAACCUAGAACCUUUCGCUUGAAACAGUAUUUCUAUCUUUCAUUACUGGUAUUAUGAAAGAAUCUCACCUGCCGAUAUCGCGAAUGUUUUCUUGACUGCCAUAAUGAACUAGUGAAAGUGAGUAAGGGAUGUUUUGAAACUUCCGAGUACUUCGAGUAUCAAAGAAACUGAUUUUAAAACCGCAAAUACACUCAAUGUAACAUUUGUUUUUAGCUCACCUGGCCCGAAGGGCCAAGUGAGCUUUUCCCAUCACUUUGCGUCCGUCGUCCGUUGUCGUUGUUAACUUUUACAAAAAUCUUCUCCUCUGAAACUACUGGGCCAAAUUAAACCAAACUUGACCACAAUCAUCAUUGGUGUAUCUAGUUUUAAAAAUGUGUCCGGUGACCCGGCCAACCAACCAAGAUGGCCGCCAUGGCUAAAAAUAGAACAUAGGGGUAAAAUGCAGUUUUUGGAUUAUAACUCAAAAACCAAAGCAUUCAGAGCAACUGACAUGGGGUAAAAUUGUUUAUCAGGUCAAGAUCUAUCUGCCCCAAAAUAUUCAGAUGAAUCGGGACAACCCGUUGUUGGUUUGCUGCCCCUAAAUUGGUAAUUUUAAGGAAAUUGUACUGUUUUUGGUUAUUAUCUUGAAUAUUAUUAUAUAGUCAGAUAAUGUAAACAGCAAUAAUUCAGCAAAUAACUUGAAAUAUUUACAAAUAAGUCAACAUGACCGAAAUGGUCAGUGACCCCUUUAGAGAGUUAUUGCCCUUUAUAUUCAAGUUUUAACAUUUUUCGUAAAUCUUAGUAAUCUUUUACAAAAAUUUUCUCCUCUGAAACUACUGGGCCAAAUUAAUCCAAACUUGGCGACAAUCAUCAUUAGGGUCUCUAGUUUAAAAAAUGUGUGGCGUGACCCUGCCAACCAAGAUGGCCGCCAUUGCUAAAAAUAGAACAUAGGGGUAAAAUGUAGAUUUUGGCUUAUAACUCUAAACUCAAAGCAUUUAGAGAAAAUCUGACAUGGGGGUAAAAUAAUAUUAGGUCAAGAUCUAUCUGCCCUGAAAUUUUUAGACAAAUCGACAACCCGUGUUGGUUGCUGCCCUGAAUUAGUAAUUUUAAGGAAAUUUUGCAGUUUUUGCUUAUAGAUAAAGAUAAACUGUAAACAGCAAUAAUGUUCAGCAAAGUAAGAUCUUCAAAUAAGUCAACAUGACCAAAAUUGUCAGUUGAUCCAUUAAGGAGUUAUGCCCUUUUAUAGUCAAUUUUUAACCAUUUUUCUAAAAUUUUAGUUUUCUUUUAAAAAAUCUUUUCCUCUGAAACUACUGGGCCAAAUUUAACCAAAGUUGGCCACAAUCAUCAUUUGGGUAACUAGUUUUAAAAAUAUGUGGCGUGACCCUGUCAACCAACCAAGAUGGUCGCCAUGGCUAAAAAUAGUCAUUGAGGGGCGAAAUGUAGAUUUUGGCUUAUAUCUCUGAAACCAAAGCAUUUAGAGCAAAUCUGACUGGGAUAAAUUGUUAAUCAGGUCAAGAUCUAUCUGCCCUGAAAUUUUCAGACAAAACAGACAACCUGUUGUUUGGUUGCUGCCACCGAAUUAGUAAUUUUAAGAAAUUUUGCAGUUUUUGUUAUUAUCUUGAAUAUUAUAAUAGAUAGAGAUAAACUGUAAACAGCAAUAAUGUUCAGCAAAGUAAGAUCUACAAAUAAGUCAAAUGACCAAAAUUGUCAGUUGACCCCUUAAGGAGUUAUCGCCCUUUAUAGUCAUUUUUUAACAAUUUUUACCAAUUUUUGUAAAUUUUUUGAAUAUAUUUUCCACUGUAAUUACUGGGCCAAGUUCAUUAUAGAUAGAGAUAAUUGUAGCAAGAAUAAUGUCCAGUAAAGUAAGAUCUACAAACACAUCAUGGUCACCAAAACACAAUUUUGUCAUGAAUUUAUCUGUGUCCAUUGUUUAAUAUGCACAUAGACCAAGGUGAGCGACACAGGCUCUUGAGAGCCUCUAGUUACUUUAACUGCUAAAAACCUAUUAUUUUUGUCAUCAAACGCAGCUCCGCGUUUGACAUCUUCCUUUGAAAUAUUGUAUAGAACUUAAAUAAAUCGUAGUCAGUUGAUAAGUAAUCACGUAAACUGACUGUUUUAUAUACUUUGAAUGUUAAAAAAGAUGGAAAGGUCUCUUCUGACACCUAAAUAAGUUCAAGACAACCAAUGCUUUGUAAAUUUUAGGGGGGGCACACGCCCGCCACGCCCCCGCCUAAAUCCGCCCCUGACAAACGUCAUCUUGGACAUAAUUCGUGGCUAACUACAGAGUGAGUUAAUUUUACAACAUUGUAUUCGAACCCAGUUACCCUUCAAAAUCGUCUCCACAUAUUGGAACCUUUUCUCCGUGAAAUAACUAAAAUUUAAGCGUUCUUGAAAGUACAAGAUUUUCUCCGUUCAACGGACUGUGCUAUCAAUUAUUUUUGACAUUUCGUUAUCAUAAAUUUAAGUAAACACAUUGUAAAAUUGUAUUUUAUUUGUAUUUUCAGCUUUUUACCAUAUGUCAGAUUGGUUCAUAAUUAAAGUAUCAGCACCUGAUAGUGGAAUAUUACAAGUUCACCCCGGUACCUCUCAUAUGUUAGAUAUGGAGAACAACAAAC